CAAGACAGGUUACGGAUGUGCUUAGUACUCCUUGGGCACGUUUGAUAAAUAGGCCUACAGAUUUUUUUUGUUCUUAAGCACUUCCUAAAUUGAAUUAGCAAAAGAGGCUGUGUUGAGAUAGCCGCUAGCUUAGUGACUUUCUUCAAAAACCAAGCCAUGCCUAAUUUAUAAUGACUAUCAACAUCUACAUUUUCAACUUUAUGGUACAGAUAAUUGAACGAGCUGAGCCUAUGUGAAAUGACCAUAACAUAGCGAGCUCCAUGUAGAUAAAUCAUACUGAAUUCUGGAAACUAACCUUGACGUUCCGUCUUUCCUUUUAGACGAGAAGGCUUACCAGAAGCAGCCCACCAUCUUCCAGAACAAAAAGCGUGUGUUGGCUGCUGAAGGCAUAGGCUGAAGGUGCCAAGGAGGCUAAAGAAAAGGUCCCCCGCUACCUCAAAAAUGCCGGGCUUGGCUUCAGAACCCCAAGAGAGGAGUUAAUGUAACCUGCAGGCGUGGUGACCAAGAUGAAGAUGCAGAGGACCAUCGUCGUCAGACGUGACUCCCUGCAUUACAUUCGGAAGUACAACCGUUUUGAGAAGAGGCACAAGAACAUGUCGGUCCAUCUCUCUCCCGCUUUCAGGGAUGUCACAGUUGGCGACAUCAUGAUAGUUGGAGAGUGCUGACCCCUCAGCAAGACCGUGAGGUUCAAUGUCCUCAAGGUGACCAAGGUCUACAAAUGAUGUUUUCUCACGAUGGUCUUCCUAGCCUUUUUGGUUUUGACGAUAACGCCUUAUGGCAUUGCUGAUGUAGACCUGGGUAUCCUCUAUAUUAGGCUACUCUCUAUAGUUCCAGUUUUGGAGCAAUGGGAUAUAAUCUCUACGAGUAAUGUACUGCAAUGAAGUGAACCCUUUUUUUUUUUUUUCAGCAUGACCUUUUAGAGAAGUUGAUGUAACCUGCAGGCCUGGGGACCAAGAUGAGAAUGCAGAGUACCAGCGUCAUCAGCUGUGACUACUUGCAUUAGGCUACAUUUGCAAGUACAAACGCUUUGAGAAGAGGCAAAAGAACAUGUCUGUCAAUCGCUCUCCCGCCUUGAGGAAUGUCAUAGUUUGCGAUAGUGAUAGUUGGCGAUCGAGUGCCUGCCGACCCCUACAAGAUCGUGAGGUUAAACAUCAAGUGACCAAGGCUGCUGGAGCCAAGAAGCAGUUCUAGGUUCAUGGAAGUGGAACUUAGAAUACAGGUGGAGAAUAAACCCUUUUCUAGCAUGCUUUCUGUUUGCAAUUCUUCAAUUGCGUCACAUUGGUUAUGUUUGAAACCUAUUGCUUUGACGAUGAUUGUUUUGGAAUGAACCCACAGGACUUGCAUUGUAGGCCUAUAGGUGUCGUUUUAAUUGGAAUUGACUUGUGUGUGGCUCAGUGAAGUGAUGUCAAGUUUUGUAUAAUCAAUUUGCUACCAGAUAAAUGCAUUACAACAACUGUGCGUAUCAGUAUCCAGUAUUUAGACUACUUCUUCACCCCAAUAAAAUGUGCUUGUAAUAAGAAUAAAUACGACAUUUAGGGGAGGCGCCAAAGGCAUGACAAAGUAGUCUCGCAAAUACAUCUGUUCAGUGCCAUAGAUCCCCCACCUUGUGCUGAAAUGAGUAAGAACU